CCUGGUAGUCCACGCCCUAAACGAUGUCAACUAGCUGUUGGGGCCUUCGGGCCUUGGUAGCGCAGCUAACGCGUGAAGUUGACCGCCUGGGGAGUACGGUCGCAAGAUUAAAACUCAAAGGAAUUGACGGGGACCCGCACAAGCGGUGGAUGAUGUGGAUUAAUUCGAUGCAACGCGAAAAACCUUACCUACCCUUGACAUGUCUGGAAUUCCGAAGAGAUUUGGAAGUGCUCGCAAGAGAACCGGAACACAGGUGCUGCAUGGCUGUCGUCAGCUCGUGUCGUGAGAUGUUGGGUUAAGUCCCGCAACGAGCGCAACCCUUGUCAUUAGUUGCUACGAAAGGGCACUCUAAUGAGACUGCCGGUGACAAACCGGAGGAAGGUGGGGAUGACGUCAAGUCCUCAUGGCCCUUAUGGGUAGGGCUUCACACGUCAUACAAUGGUCGGGACAGAGGGUCGCCAACCCGCGAGGGGGAGCCAAUCCCAGAAACCCGAUCGUAGUCCGGAUCGCAGUCUGCAACUCGACUGC
rnacentral:rRNA from 1 species